rnacentral:rRNA from 1 species
UGAGAGGGAGCCUGAGAAAUGGCUACCACAUCCAAGGAUGGCAGCAGGCGCGCAAAUUACCCACUCCCAGCUUGGGGAGGUAGUGACGAAAAAUAACAAUGCGGGACUCUAAGAGGCCCCGUAAUUGGAAUGAGUACACCUUAAAUCGUUUAACGAGUAUCAAUUGGAGGGCAAGUCUGGUGCCAGCAGCCGCGGUAAUUCCAGCUCCAAUAGCGUAUAUUAAAGUUGCUGCAGUUAAAAAGCUCGUAGUUGGAUCUGGGGCUUGAGGUCGCUGUCUAUCGUUUCGGCGAUGACGGUGAUGCUCAGCUCUGCUUGCCGGUGACUGUUGCGGUGUUCUUCACUGAGCGCUGUAGCAGCACGGCACGUUUACUUUGAAAAAAUUAGAGUGCUCAAAGCGUGCUUGUCGCUUGAAUAAUGUUGCAUGGAAUAAUGGAAUAGGACCUCGGUUCUAUUUUGUUGGUUUUCGGAGCUUGAGGUAAUGAUUAAGAGGGACGAACGGGGGCAUUCGUAUUGCGGUGUUAGAGGUGAAAUUCUUGGAUCGCCGCAAGACGGACUACUGCGAAAGCAUUUGCCAAGAACGCUUUCAUUAAUUAAGAACGAAAGUCAGAGCUUCGAAGACGAUCAGACACCGUCCUAGUUCUGACCAUAAACGAUGCCGACCAGCGAUCCGUAGUGGUUGCUUUAUGGACCCUACGGGCAGCCUCCGGGAAACCAAAGUAUUUGGGUUCCGGGGGAAGUAUGGUUGCAAAGCUGAAACUUAAAGGAAUUGACGGAAGGGCACACCAGGAGUGGAGCCUGCGGCUUAAUUUGACCCAACACGGGAAAACUCACCCGGUCCGGACACCGUAAGGAUUGACAGACUGAUAGCUCUUUCUUGAUUCGGUGGAUGGUGGUGCAUGGCCGUUCUUAGUUGGUGGAGUGAUUUGUCUGGUUAAUUCCGAUAACGAACGAGACUCUAGCCUGCUAAGUAGUGUUGCUAUUGUUAUAUGGUUGACACUUCUUAGAGGGACAAGUGGCAUUUAGCCACGCGAAAUUGAGCAAUAACAGGUCUGUGAUGCCCUUAGAUGUCCGGGGCCGCACGCGCGCUACACUGGAGAAGUCAGCGUGUGUUAUCCAAGUCCGAAAGGACUGGGUAAUCCGUUGAACCUUCUUCGUGCUUGGGACUGUGGCUUGGAACUAUUCCACAUGAACGAGGAAUUCCUAGUAAUUGCAAGUCAUAAGCUUGCGUUGAUUACGUCCCUGCCCUUUGUACACACCGCCCGUCGCUACUACCGAUUGAAUGGUUUAGCAAGGUCCUCGGAUCGUGGCCGUAGGGGCACGCAAGUGUUUCUGCGGUUUGCGAGAAGACGACCAAACUUGAUCAUUUAGAGGAAGUAAAAGUCGUAACAAGGUU